GACGAACGCUGGCGGCGUGCCUAAUACAUGCAAGUCGAGCGGACGGAUGGGAGCUUGCUCCCAGACCGUCAGCGGCGGACGGGUGAGUAACACGUGGGCAACCUGCCUGUAAGACUGGGAUAACUCCGGGAAACCGGGGCUAAUACCGGAUAACUCUUUCCUUCCCAUGAGGGAAAGCUGAAAGAUGGCAUCUCGCUAUCACUUACAGAUGGGCCCGCGGCGCAUUAGCUAGUUGGUGAGGUAACGGCUCACCAAGGCGACGAUGCGUAGCCGGCCUGAGAGGGUGAUCGGCCACACUGGGACUGAGACACGGCCCAGACUCCUACGGGAGGCAGCAGUGGGGAAUCUUGCGCAAUGGACGAAAGUCUGAUGCAGCAACGCCGCGUGAGUGAUGAAGGUUUUCGGAUCGUAAAACUCUGUUGUCAGGAAAGAACAAGUACCGGAGUAACUGCCGGUACCUUGACGGUACCUGACCAGAAAGCCACGGCUAACUACGUG
rnacentral:rRNA from 1 species